rnacentral:lncRNA from 1 species
UGAACACAUAUUAAACCAGAGUCACUUGCCUUGUAACUGAGCCCUCAUAUGACCAAUUUUAAAAUUGCCACAGACCUCCACGUUGAAGCUCAUGUAAUUGGAACAUGCCCAGAUGAACCAUGUAUGAAACCAUGGGCAGAACCUAAGUGCUAAGAUGGAGGCGCAAGAACUGAAUUAAGAAGGAGACACUGAAUGACAGGAUUCAGGAUCCAAUCAUAUGGAGCCCUGGUAUCAUCUCAUUAUAAGAUCCAAUCAGAUCACAUCUCAUUAUGCUAUGCUUGUAAUACCAGUCCCAGCUCCCAGCUCAGGGAGACAGAUUUGAGCAUUUCCUCCUGUCCGCUGCCAGUUGACUUGCAAUAAAGCUUUUCUUUGCUCAAAAGCUGAUGCCAUGGUAUUGGCUUCACGUCAGGCAGCUGUCAGCUCAUUGGUUGCUCAGUAACGAGUACAUCCUUUCGAACUCAAGGCCCAGCAAGCCUGGUGCUUUAACCAUGUUUCUGUUUUUUUCUGUUCCUGGUCCGUGGGGAUGUUUUGUGUCUUUUAAAUUUUUUAAAUUAGAUUUCACUUUUUCUGUCAUCGUUGUGUUUGAAUAGAGGUGGGGUGGAGAGAAUGCACACCAUAAAUUUACAGCACCAUUUUAGCUGACAGUCCUUCUACAUGACUCAUAAAGUCAGGAAAAAAAAAUCAAUGAAAUCAAUGCUAUACCACCUCUACCUCUCAACUCUGUACUCUUUGCCCCCUUUUUAGUGCACACCAUUCCCCUCUUACCUGACUCCUGUGUCUCUCCACUGAUCUCUGUCACCAACUGGGAAGAAAUUGGGUGGCCUUAUUUGCUUAUACUAAAAAGUCAGGGAGUGUAGCAGACAGAAUAAUGCCUUUCCCGAAUGUCCAUGUCUUAAUUCCUAGAACUUGUGAACACACUACCUUAUAGGUAGAAGGGACUUCACAGGUAUGAUUUAUUGAAGGAUUUUGAGUUGGGAAAAUUAUCCUGGAUUAUCUGGGUGGGCCUGAUGUAAUCACAUGAUCCUCAUAAGAAG